rnacentral:lncRNA from 1 species
CUCCUCGAGGACUGGUGAGCUGUCACUGCAGCAUGACCGUACUGACAGCUCCCCAGGGGCUUACCCUAAAAGUUCCUUUUAGAGAACACCCUCAGCCUUAACUCCAUUUUAGAGCCUGACUUAUGGGAGUCAACCUGUGACAUUUAAGGUGGAUUAUGUAUUAUAUAUAUAUAGAUCACCACCAGCACAUACAGCAUGCAGAGGCAGCCCACUGUGGUAACCACCACGGGGUUGUCCUCAAAGGUAGCAAAGAGCUCGGCAGUCUGGCAGACGUCGAUGGCGUUGGGCAUCACCAGGAAGGAGCUUCCAAAGAAGGUUCUUCACUGGGAUAGGAUGGCCGCUGGAGCUGGUCAGGCGAAGUCCACCAACAGUCCCACUGACAUCAAAUUGGCUUCGGGAAGGGAAGGGGUUCUGUGAGAAACUCAUCAUCUGAAAGCCAAGAGCAAGAAGCACUGAUGAGAGUUGGGGUGAACAGGCCCCUGUGUGAACAGUGAGACCCGCAGGCUGGUGACUGGCCCUCGCUCUAUGAGGUGGAUGCAGGCUCCUGCCUUUAACUGAUGGUGCUUUCCAGAGAUAUCCUUUGCCGAGGCCAUGUCCAGGACUCAGCAAGCCUUUCUUUCCCCCAGAGUUGAUAUAAUCAGAUCUCAACAUCUUCAGUUCUAUGUCUGUGGACUCAACUAAAUGUGGACUGAAAUAUUUGAAAAA